GGCUACACACGUGCUACAAUGGGUAGAACAGAGAGUCGCAAAGCUGUGAAGUGGAGCUAAUCUCAGAAAACUAUUCUUAGUUCGGAUUGUACUCUACAACUCGAGUACAUGAAGUUGGAAUCGCUAGUAAUCGCGAAUCAGCAAUGUCGCGGUGAAUACGUUCUCGGGUCUUGUACACACCGCCCGUCACACCACGAGAGUUGGUUGCACCUGAAGUAGCAGGCCUAACCGUAAGGAGGGAUGCUCCGAGGGUGUGAUUAGCGAUUGGGGUGAAGUCGUAACAAGGUAUCCGUACGGGAACGU
rnacentral:rRNA from 1 species